rnacentral:rRNA from 1 species
AAAUUGAAGAGUUUGAUCAUGGCUCAGAUUGAACGCUGGCGGCAGGCCUAACACAUGCAAGUCGAACGGUAACAGGAAGAAGCUUGCUUCUUUGCUGACGAGUGGCGGACGGGUGAGUAAUGUCUGGGAAACUGCCUGAUGGAGGGGGAUAACUACUGGAAACGGUAGCUAAUACCGCAUAACGUCGCAAGACCAAAGAGGGGGACCUUCGGGCCUCUU